GAUCAUGGCUCAGGAUGAACGCUAGCGACAGGCUUAACACAUGCAAGUCGAGGGGCAUCACGGGAGUAGCAAUACAACUGGUGGCGACCGGCGCACGGGUGAGUAACGCGUAUGCAACCUACCUAUCAGAGGGAAUAACCCGGCGAAAGUCGGACUAAUACCGCAUAAAACAGGGGCACCGCAUGGUGAUAUUUGUUAAAGAAAUUCGCUGAUAGAUGGGCAUGCGUUCCAUUAGGUAGUUGGUGAGGUAACGGCUCACCAAGCCGACGAUGGAUAGGGGAACUGAGAGGUUGGUCCCCCACACUGGUACUGAGACACGGACCAGACUCCUACGGGAGGCAGCAGUGAGGAAUAUUGGCCAAUGGGCGGGAGCCUGAACCAGCCAAGUCGCGUGAAGGAAAGAAGGAUCUAUGGUUCGUAAACUUCUUUUGCAGGGGAAUAAAGUGCAGGACGUGUCCUGUUUUGUAUGUACCCUGAGAAUAAGGAUCGGCUAACUCCGUGCCAGCAGCAGC
rnacentral:rRNA from 1 species